CCACCUUGCCCGGGGCCCGUCUGAGACGCUGUCUCCUGACCCAUAACAGAGAGGGCAGUCUUCACCCGGGACUGACUGUGAUCAUGGAUAAGAUACAGGGAGGGCUGUCGUGAAGACCAUUCUGGUGACUUCCAGGGAAAGGCAGGGGCGGCCUGCACCCCUGGACUGCCUGGGCCCGUGAUUGACUUGGGGUGGCCUCACCCUCUGCCUCAGUUGUUCCCUCCGUAAAAUGGGCACAGAGCUCUCCGACAAAAUCUCACUACGAAGCCCAGGCUGGUCUGGAACUCUCAGUGAUUCUCCCACCUCAGCCUCCUGAAUGCUAAGAUGACAGCUUCCUGGUCCUUGAUGCAGACCAGAAAAAAGGAAGAGGAGGAAGAGAAGGAGGAGGAAGAGGAAGAAGAGAAGGAAGAAGAGGAAGAAGAGAUGGAAGAAGGGGAAAGGAGAUCUGGAGCUGUCUCUUUAAAUCUUUCUAGAAGUCCAACAGAAAUAGAACAUUUAUCUGUGUGAAGGCUACACAGGCUUAACUAAAAAUGUCAAGUUUCUUUGCUGGAAUUUUAACAGGGAACAUGAUAAGUGUACAUUUAUUCAGUAAUGAUCAAUUCCGGGUUCUCUUUUGUAUGAGAUGAAAUGGUGACAUGCUGCUCAGAAGCUCUGCUUGGUUUUGUUUCAUACAAAAUCACCUCUUGAAGUUAUAAUUGCUGGAUGAAUGUUAUCUGAUUGUCCUAAACUCUUGCUCUUCUCUCUGUGUUGUGUGCCCUGGGGAGAGGCUACAAAGAUGGGAUAAUAAAAAAGUAAAAUGUUUGCUUUAAAAAAAA